rnacentral:tRNA from 1 species
GCGCGUGUGGUGAAAUUGGCAAACACGCUAGACUUAGGAUCUAGUGCCGCAAGGCUUGGGGGUUCGAGUCCCUUCACGCGCACCA